rnacentral:tRNA from 1 species
GCCGAAGUGGUGGAACUGGUAGACACGCAGCGUUCAGGUCGCUGUGGGAGCAAUCCCGUGGAGGUUCGAGUCCUCUCUUCGGCACCA